GAUGAACGCUAGCGGGAGGCCUAACACAUGCAAGCCGAGCGGUAUUGUUUCUUCGGAAAUGAGAGAGCGGCGUACGGGUGCGUAACACGUGUGCAACCUGCCUUUAUCUGGGGGAUAGCCUUUCGAAAGGAAGAUUAAUACUCCAUAAUAUAUUGAACGGCAUCGUUUAAUAUUGAAAGCUCCGGCGGAUAGAGAUGGGCACGCGCAAGAUUAGCUAGUUGGUGAGGUAACGGCUCACCAAGGCGAGGAUCUUUAGGGGGCCUGAGAGGGUGAUCCCCCACACUGGUACUGAGACACGGACCAGACUCCUACGGGAGGCAGCAGUGAGGAAUAUUGGUCAAUGGGUGCAAGCCUGAACCAGCCAUCCCGCGUGAAGGACGACUGCCCUAUGGGUUGUAAACUUCUUUUGUAUAGGGAUAAACCUACCCUCGUGAGGGUAGCUGAAGGUACUAUACGAAUAAGCACCGGCGAACUCCGUGCCAGCAGCCGCCGUAA
rnacentral:rRNA from 1 species